UACGUAGGGUGCAAGCGUUGUCCGGAAUUAUUGGGCGAAAGAGCUCGUAGGCGGUUUGUUGCGUCGGCUGUGAAAUCCCGAGGCUCAACCUCGGGUCUGCAGUCGAUACGAGCAAACUAGAGUGUUGCAGGGGAGACUGGAAUUCCUGGUGUAGCGGUGAAAUGCGCAGAUAUCAGGAGGAACACCGGUGGCGAAGGCGGGUCUCUGGGCAACAACGUGACGCUGGAGGAGCGAAAGCCGUGGGGAGCAAACAGG
rnacentral:rRNA from 1 species